rnacentral:lncRNA from 10 species
GCCAAAUGCUCUUGAGCAGGCCUCAUCUGGAAAAUAAUGACUGUGUCUCAAAGGAUGACGAAGAGGAAUAAAUGAGCAAUGUGUUUCAAUGAGACAGUAUCGGGCAGGUGCAGAGGAUCCAGCAUGUUAUUCUGAAACCCCAGAAGACGCUGCAGCUACCAAAUAGAAGGAGCCUGGAUCCCUGAAUGUCUUCAUGGAACAGAACAUUCUCCUCACUCCAGUCUGUUUGAACCAGAAUAUGACCUGAGCAAGAAAUAAGCCUUAAUUAUAUUUGACCAUAGAAUUCUGGUGAUAUUUCUAUGGCUGUAAGUCCAUGUUGAUUAAUACAAAGGGAUGCUGUAAAGCCUCUUCUAUUAAAAAAAGUUGCCCAAGGAGUGAAAGGAGAGAUAUUUUCUGUAAUUAAGAUUUUCAUAAUACAUAGAACAGGCUAUAGCACCUGGCAAUCAAUCAUAUGGGGUACAACAGAAAGAGGAAACAUUCCUGCUAUUAAAUUAACCAAACUGGAGUUCUUGUUAUAUAAUAUAGUAAAAUUUCCUCAAUCUUUCAGCCACCUUUAGUUCUGUAAUCUAUUAUUUCUGGGUAAAAGCAUACCAUUUGAUACACAAUCCAAACCCAAUUCUUAAUUAAUAACGUGUAUCCACUGUAUCUUACCACAUCCCAAAUCAUCUAAUACUUAACCACCUAGUUUCUAUGUUCCACUUACAUCAAACAUAUUCAUGUUUGGAAAAUUGAGCCAGCAUCUACUGCCUUAUCAGCUGAUGCAUAACAAUUUACUUUGUCUGUGCUCUAUAAUAAUGCAAGUCUGCUUGGAAAGAUAACACGUUAAAGGGUUAUCAGACCCUAACACCUUCGUAUAGAUGAAUUUAUCAGAUCCUCUGCUAAACCACUUUCGAAUCCUUGGCCAGUUCUCUACAUUUCAUGAAGAGUUAGCAUAGCCAGUCCAGGAGAUAUUAUCUUCAGGAUGUGGUCAGUUGUGGAAAGGAAGAUAGCUCUGAGGAUCUCUUUCCAGGGAAAAGAAAGACAUGAGGAUUGCUCCAAAGAUCCUCUUUCUGGGGGAAAACGCACAUACUACAGAAAGGCUACAGAAAAAAAAGCACUCCCUCAGCAACAUAUUCACAAUCUAUUUUGUUGGAAUUACAGGCCAAUCCUUUUCAGACAGUUGAGUCCAGAGAGGACUGGGAGACUGCCUGACCCCAUGGGGUGCUUGACAAGGUCAGAUUCCAGGGCCUGGUAGGCUGUUAAAACCAAAGGGGGCCAGUGCUCAUGGACAGUGAGUUAAGAGGCUCCUGACACUGGGGGUCCUUUCAGAGCACAUACAGAAGGAGGAGUGUCCUUCUGUUACACAACCUGAAUUACUGGAGAAGGGCCCGCUGGUGUCGUUCUCCUCAAUACAAUGCACCUCCUACAAUGCACCUCCACUUCUGGGAGAGGGGAAGGGGGAAAAAGAGAC